UACGUAGGGUGCGAGCGUUAAUCGGAAUUACUGGGCGUAAAGCGUGCGCAGGCGGUUUUGUAAGCCAGAUGUGAAAGCCCCGGGCUCAACCUGGGAAUGGCAUUUGGGACUGCAAGGCUUGAGUGCGGCAGAGGAGACUGGAAUUCCUGGUGUAGCAGUGAAAUGCGUAGAUAUCAGGAGGAAUACCGAUGGCGAAGGCAGGUCUCUGGGCAUUAACUGACGCUGAGGAGCGAAAGCAUGGGGAGCGAACAGG
rnacentral:rRNA from 1 species